UAUAAAUACAAGACAGCUGACGGUACAAAGAGCAACAUUUACUCGCACAUCGCAACGAAGAUUAUCUCACCAGUGGUCUCACCACCACGCAACAGGUUCAACCAGUAAACAACCAUGGUCUGACUGAUCAUAAAAGCUAGUCUCUACGUGGUCCGGAAGAUCCGGGGUUCCAUCACUGGAGAGGAGCAAGUGGAAAAGCCCAUCAUAACACCAUGUAGUGCAGCUGAAAUGAAAGCAGGACGGGAGCUGAAAGGAAACGCCCCAGCCAUGGCACUGCGCCCAGUACCUGAGGAAGGUGUUGGCGCAGCAACAAGCUUAGGGCCGUCCUCAGAGACAGCGUUGCAGGAAUGUGGCUCCUGACGUUAAAGAUCAUGCUGGACACUGGGACAAUCGCUGCCAUGGAAAAAUAUAAUUUGCCAUCUUUGUAUUUUUGCAUUACAGGACAAUAAUAAAUUAUCCUGGAUGAUUUCUUGUACAUAUAGAAUCAACUACAUGCAAUGGUCAACAUUAAUUUGUUCAAAAUAGAAAUUGUAUAAACAGGCCAUUUUGGACUACAAUACAAAUGUCAUUAUUACACUGCUUUCCAGUGUCCAUGCUGUACUCAGAGGCUAAUGUCCAGCUCCUAAUGACACAUUCAGGCCUUUUUCACAGCAGACAUGUUGACUUACCAUAGGAAAACAACUCCACACACAAUGGCCUACUAUGGGCCCUUGAAUAUAAUGGAGGCAUUUAUGUUAUUGCAUUAAUUCUGUAGUCAGCAUGUUCUCUGGGAAAAGGCCUGUAUUUACGUACUGCAGUGUGUGAAGGCUGACUCACCAACCUCUCUCCAGGGGCUGAGCAGGCCUGAUGUUUGUGCUGCUUUAUCAGUAAAUAAAUACUCUAAAAAAAGUUGU